rnacentral:rRNA from 1 species
UAACUGACGCUAAAGCUCGAAAGUGCGGGUAUCGAACAGGAUUAGAUACCCUGGUAGUCCGCACGGUAAACGAUGGAUGCCCGCUGUCUGCGAUACACUGUAGGCGGCCAAGAGAAAUCGUUAAGCAUCCCACCUGGGGAGUACGCCGGCAACGGUGAAACUCAAAGGAAUUGACGGGGGCCCCGCACAAGCGGAGGAACAUGUGGUUUAAUUCGAUGAUACGCGAGGAACCUUACCCGGGCUUGAACUGCAGGCGUACGAUACAGAGAUGUUGAGGCCCUUCGGGGCGCCUGUGGAGGUGCUGCAUGGUUGUCGUCAGCUCGUGCCGUGAGGUGUCGGCUUAAGUGCCAUAACGAGCGCAACCCCUUUCUCCAGUUGCCAUCAGGUGAUGCUGGGCACUCUGGAGACACUGCCACCGUAAGGUGUGAGGAAGGUGGGGAUGACGUCAAAUCAGCACGGCCCUUACGUCCGGGGCUACACACGUGUUACAAUGGGUGGUACAGAGAGUCAAUCCCCAGCAAUGUGGAUUCAAUCCUUAAAGCCAUCCUCAGUUCGGAUUGGGGUCUGCAACCCGACCCCAUGAAGCUGGAUUCGCUAGUA